UACGAGGACGAACGCUGGCGGCGUGCCUAACACAUGCAAGUCGAACGGGGGUUUGCUUCGGUAGAACCUUAGUGGCGAACGGGUGAGUAACGCGUAGGCAACCUGCCCCCCGGAUUGGGACAACACCCCGAAAGGGGUGCUAAUACCGGAUACGAAGAUAGCACCGCAUGGUGAUAUUUUUGAAAGAUGGCCUCUACAGGUAAGCUAUCGCCGGGGGAUGGGCCUGCGUCCGAUUAGCUGGUUGGUGGGGUAACGGCCCACCAAGGCGACGAUCGGUAGCCGGUCUGAGAGGAUGAACGGCCACAUUGGGACUGAGACACGGCCCAGACUCCUACGGGAGGCAGCAGUGGGGAAUCUUCCGCAAUGGGCGCAAGCCUGACGGAGCAACGCCGCGUGAGUGAAGGAAGUUUUUCGGAACGUAAAGCUCUGUUGUACAUGACGAACGUGCGAUCUGUCAACAACGGAUGGCAGUGACGGUAGUGUACGAGGAAGCCACGGCUAACUACGUGCCAGCCGCCGC
rnacentral:rRNA from 1 species